GAUGGGUUGGUGGAAGACGGCGGCUGCUGAUCUGAUUCUGGAACGUGCGCAUCGGCACACGUCGAGGAUUUGCUUGACCGGUAGUGCCUUCGUGGUCUCCGGAUUUGUGUUGGGUGGUGGUGUGCGGUCAGGACAGGACAUGCGGCCUCGAUAUUGUCACUCCCUUCAUCAGGCCGGUAGGUAUAGCUUGGUUGUUUUGUGUUGGUUGGUCGAUGUUUAUCUCGUAAGACUUGUUAAAUAAAUUAAUAAAAGAAGGCUGCAUGCGCCACUCUGAUGCAGAGGCUGGGGUUUCAACCUUUCUUUUCGAAAAAAAAACAAGAACAAGUGGCAGCAUCACGUUUAAAUACUAAAAAAAAGAAAACAGGUUGACCGUCCGGACGGCCGGCUAUUCAUAGGAAAGUUGAUCCCGGCGAAGCCAUAAAAGAUGAACCAUGGCAGCAGAGAGCGUUGCGACGUGCCGCGUGCGCAGGCGUGCGUGUCAGGUUGUGACGUGGCGAGCCAUAAUUGCAAAGAACCACAAGCUCGGUUUGUGCCUCGUAGGAAAAUCCGACAAGUGCUAGUACUAAUUAGGAAAGGUAACAAAAAUAUGGACGUUGUAUCACCACAAGAAAAAAAUAGUUUAUCGGAAAAAUCUUAUGAAAUAUUAACGUGAAUGUCCAUAACCCAUAUAUCAUUAAAAUUAUAACCUUCUAUUUCAAUGGUGUAUCUCUUCUAUCAUCAAUGCUUGUAACUCCAUCGUAUUGGAAAGUGAAUAAGAAUUAUAACUUCAUCUCUCACUCUCUAACGCGGAGAUAGUGACACCGGAACUAUCUACCCCCACCUUCAUAGUCACAUGUUUCAUCUCAUGCCCACCAAAUUAAUUUCUUUUGUCUUGUACUGCGGAGAGAUUACUAGGGAAAAUAGUACUUGUGUUAGGCAUGUAUUUUUUCUGGUCCUC
rnacentral:lncRNA from 1 species